GAUGAACGCUGGCGGCGUGCCUAAUACAUGCAAGUCGAGCGAACAGACGAGGAGCUUGCUCCUCUGACGUUAGCGGCGGACGGGUGAGUAACACGUGGAUAACCUACCUAUAAGACUGGGAUAACUUCGGGAAACCGGAGCUAAUACCGGAUAAUAUAUUGAACCGCAUGGUUCAAUAGUGAAAGACGGUUUUGCUGUCACUUAUAGAUGGAUCCGCGCCGCAUUAGCUAGUUGGUAAGGUAACGGCUUACCAAGGCGACGAUGCGUAGCCGACCUGAGAGGGUGAUCGGCCAGACUGGAACUGAGACACGGUCGAGACUCCUAAGGGAGGCAGCAGUAGGGAAUCUUACGCAAUGGGCGAAAGCCGGACGGAGCAACGUCGCGUGAGUGAUGAAGGUCUUCGGAUCGUAAAACUCUGUUAUUAGGGAAGAACAAAUGUGUAAGUAACUAUGCACGUCUUGACGGAACCUAAUCAGAAAGCCACGGCUAACUACGUG
rnacentral:rRNA from 1 species